rnacentral:miRNA from 1 species
AGAGAAUCGAAGUGGAACGCC